GAUGAACGCUGGCGGCGUGCCUAAUACAUGCAAGUCGAGCGAAUGGAUUAAGAGCUUGCUCUUAUGAAGUUAGCGGCGGACGGGUGAGUAACACGUGGGUAACCUGCCCAUAAGACUGGGAUAACUCCGGGAAACCGGGGCUAAUACCGGAUAACAUUUUGAACCGCAUGGUUCGAAAUUGAAAGGCGGCUUCGGCUGUCACUUAUGGAUGGACCCGCGUCGCAUUAGCUAGUUGGUGAGGUAACGGCUCACCAAGGCAACGAUGCGUAGCCGACCUGGCAGGGUGAUCGGCCACACUGGGACGAGGGCACGGCCCAGACUCCUACGGGAGGCAGCAGUAGGGAAUCUUCCGCAAUGGACGAAAGUCUGACGGAGCAACGCCGCGUGAGUGAUGAAGGCUUUCGGGUCGUAAAACUCUGUUGUUAGGGAAGAACAAGUGCUAGUUGAAUAAGCUGGCACCUUGACGGUACCUAACCAGAAAGCCACGGCUAACUACGUGCCAGCCGCCGCGGUAA
rnacentral:rRNA from 1 species